GAACAAUGUUGGGCUGAAGUGAAAAAAGAUUUAGAAAUUUGGUCAAAUUUGAAGCUUUCACUGCUGGGCCGGAUUGCUGCGGUAAAAAUGAAUGUAUUGCCUAGAAUGUUAUUUCUGUUUCAAACAUUGCAAAUUGUGGACAAAAUGGACUGUUUCAAGAGGUGGCAGAGAGAUAGUUCCAGAUUUGUGUGGCAGGGCAAGAAGCCCAGAAUAAAAUUUAAAAUACUAACAGAUGUAAAGGAAAGAGGUGGAUUUGCCCUGCCAGACCUUAAACUUUAUUAUGAAUCAGCAGCUUUUUGCUGGUUGAAAGAAUGGCUGCUUCUUGAAAAAACUGACAUUUUGGAUUUGGAAGGUUUUAACAAUGUAUUUGGAUGGCAUGCAUAUCUGUGGUAUGAUAAGGUUAAAGCACAUAAAGCAUUUAAAAAUCAUAUUGUCAGGAAAGCAUUGUUUAAUGUUUGGAUAAGAUAUAAGGAUUUAUUGGAAAAUAAAACUCCAAGGUGGCUGUCACCAAUGGAAGCAAAAGCCUUGAAAAAGCUCAAUAUGGAGGUCAAGUGGCCGAAAUAUUGGGAAAUCUUAGAACAAGAUGGAGAUAGAUUGAAAUUGCAGAGUUUUGAAAAAUUAAAAAACAAAGUGCGAGACUGGCUUCAUUAUUAUCAGAUAAUGGAGGUAUACAAUUUGGACAAGAAAAUUGGCUUCCAGGUGGAAAAAUCAAAAUUAGAAACAGAACUGUUAGAACCCAAAACUAAGACCUUGUCAAGAAUGUAUAAGUUGCUGCUGAAAUGGAACACUCAGGAUGAAACGGUGAAAUCUGCUAUGAUUAAAUGGGCCCAAGAUGUUGGACAUAACAUCAUGUUCGCUGACUGGGAACAGUUAUGGACCACAGGUAUGAAGUUUACAGCAUGUAAUGCCUUAAGAGAGAAUAUUAUGAAAAUGAUAUACAGGUGGUACAUAACCCCAGUUAAGUUUGCAAAAAUCUACCAUUUGCCCGAUAAUAAAUGUUGGAAAUGUAAAGAAACUGAAGGUACAUUUUUUCACCUUUGGUGGACGUGCCGAAAGAUUAAGGCUUUCUGGGAGAUGAUAUAUAAUGAAUUAAAAAAGGUAUUUAAAUAUACCUUCUUGAAGAAACCAGAGGCCUUUCUCCUGGGCAUAGUCGGCCAAUUGGUGUUAAAAAAGGAUAGAACUUUCUUUAUGUAUGCUACAACAGCAGCAAGAAUACUCAUCACAAAGUAUUGGAAGACACAAGAGCUACCCACACUGGAGGAAUGGCAGAUGAAAUUGAUGGACUAUAUGGAAUUGGCGGAAAUGACUGGCAGAAUCCGUGACCAGGGAGAAGAGUCGGUGGAAGAAGAUUGGAAGAAAUUCAAAGAUUACUUACAGAAAUAUUGCAAAAUUAAAGAAUGUUAGAGUGAUGUUGGAUUGAAAUUAAGUGGCUUUUAGCUGUACAGGUUUUAAAGUUAUAGAUAGAUCAAGAUUAAGGAUUAGGAUUAAAAAAGUUAAAAGAAAUGGAAAAUUGGCUUUUAAUAGGUUAAAAUUUAAUGUUAUAUCAUAUCAAGACUAAGGAUUGGGAUUAAAAAGGAGGGAAAGGAAUUGCUGGACAAACAAAUUGAAUUGGAAUACAAAAGAGGGAGGUAUGAGGAGGUCCGGGAAAUAAGUCAAUGUAAAAGUUAAGAUGAAAAGAUGGAAUUGUUUUUAAUUGUUUUUUCUUUCUUUUUUUUUGUUUUGUUUGUAUUUUGUAUGGUGUAUUUCUCUUUUUAUUUUUAAAUUUCUUUUUUUUCUCUUAUUAAGAUGUCUCUUUUUAUGUGAAACUUCAAUAAAUAUCUUUUUUUUCAAAAAAGAGAGAAAUAAAGGGGCUGGGGGGGGGGGAAUACUCUGAGCUACUUGAUCACAAAGGCAGCCUCCCCACUGACGAACUCACCCUUCUUGAGGACCUUCCCCACACCCGGACAAGGUCCUAGCAGAUGCGUAGUGAGCAGGGAAGCUGCAUGCACGGCUUAAAGCAGGGACGGAUUUAAACCUCCCUGCCUGGAAAAUUAGUCUAGGAAGAUCCACAGCCCCGCAGAUACCCGUCUGCGAAGAGAGGGGGGACUGCCUGAUUAAAUUACAAAAAACCACCCCCCACACCCAAGUACUUAGCCGGCCGCAGGACGAUCAGGGGAGACUUUCUGGACGUCCCAGCAACUCCGAUGUAGCUUGGAAGCAAAACACCAAUGCAGAGACGCUCCCAAAAGCUGGUCCAGUAAAAGGAACAGAGAGCAGAAAAGCCGACAAACAAAAAGCCGACAGACAAAAACCAGGAUCAAAACCGCUCAGCUGGAAAGGGGAAAGAGGGCGGUCCCCGGGCAUGCCUGGCCUUAAGUAGGCUGGGCCACGCCUCGUCGAAGGCACGCCCGGGGAUUCCCUGGAUCUCGCGGGGGCAAAAGGCCAGCCCCCGCGUGUGUGGGAGGGGGUAGCCCGCAACCCCCUCUCCUCCCAAGCUCGGAAAUGGCUUUGUAGACACUUUUCCCACUUCACUUUGAGACCCUCCGUCUGGAAACGGUGCAGAACAGUGCGGAGGCAGUCCUCAAACUCCUUUGGCGUGGGCCCAGCAAUCAACACAUCAUCGAAGAAGGGGGUGACGCCAGGGAUCCCUUUAAGGAGAGAGUCCAUUAGAUUCUGGAAUAUGCCUGGUGCCACGCUGACACCGAAUUGCAGCCGCUUUACCUUGAACGCUCCUCUGUGUGUCACACUCGUCUGUGCCUCUGCUGUGGCCUCAUCCACCAGCAGCUGUUGAUAGGCUUGGGCCAAGUUCAGCUUGCCAAUUUUUUUUGACCCAGCCAGGGUGGAGAUGACAUGGCUGACCACUGGCACUGGGUAUGUGUGGGCCGUGAGGGCCUUGUUUAUGGUACAUUUGUAGUCUGCACAAAUGCGGACUGAACCAUUAGGAUUGACGAGUGUGAUGAUCGGGGUUUUCCGGGGGCAUUAGGCACAGGCUCCAGCACUCCUUGCUCCACGAGCUGGUCCAAUUCCUCGUCUAUACGGGGUUUCAGGGUGAAUGGGACCCAGCGGGCCUUGAGCCUGACAGGUCGUACUGUGGGGUCAAGCUGUAGGGCGAUGGGGGGCCUGUAUACUGUCCCAAUUUCCCAUCAAAUACCCCUGGAAAUUCCUUGCAUAUGGCGUCCACAUCCAUUUGUAAGCUAGUGCGGUUCACCCCGGUGACGGCUAGCCCCAGUGGUCCAAACCAAGGCAAUCCCAGUAAGCUAAUGUAGGGGCCCUUGACCACAAGCAAGUCCAGUUGCCGCGUCCGCCCUUGAUAAUGCACCCUGAAGGUCCCCACCGCCAUUGUGGGGACCUUACGUUUCUGGAAGUCCCGAAGGGUGAAUGGGGCUGGCCUGAGUCUGGGACCCCCACUAAGGCACAGUUUCCUUAAGGUCCUUGCUGAGAUUAUGGAUAGAGUUGAACCCGUGUCAAGCUCCAUGCAGCAUGUGGCCCCCUCUCUCUGUACCUCUGCAUGAAUUUUCUCUAUGUUGGGGUGGAGCAACUGGUAUACCUGGCAGUCCGUGAUCUCCAUUGAGUUGCCUUGGUACGUUGGGCCCUGGGACCUAGGGCUCUUGGAUCGGUCAUCCGAUGCCUGGCGUCGGGUGGGCCGAGCCCGACACACCUGGGCAAUGUGUCCCAAUUUUUUGAACUGCCUGCACUCUACAUUGUGGAAACAGCAGGUCCUCCUCUCUUGACUCUCCCUGCAGCUUGCGUCGUUCCCUCCUUCUCGUUGAGGCAGCUGUGGUCUGUGCGCUGCUUGAGUGCGUCGCUGAACUCGGUGCACCUCCUCCCUGUUGGAUCCUGAGUUGUCGGCGAGGUCUUCAUGAUGGACCCUCGGUUGGGGUGGCAGGCUCUGCCGUGCUUCUUGCGUCAACCUCUCAGCAAUUUCAGUUGCUAGGGCCUCCUCCAGAGCGACCUGGAAUGUUAGGUCCUUCUUGGCAUAGUGGCGUCGUUGCAGCUUCUCAUCCUUCAGGCCACCAACGAGGUGGUCAUGAAGCAUGUUCUCCAACUCUGAGAAGUUGCAGGCGGGUCCUGGGCCCGGGCGGCUUGGCGGAAGGAGGUCACAAACCCAGUUAUGGUUUCCCCAGGGGCUUUCCACUUUGCAUAGAAGGCAUUUUGACGAGACACCACUGAGGGUUGCGGCGAGAAGUGCCCCUUCAGCUGUUCCAUUAUUGUUUUGUAUGGAACAGUAGCGACAUCUUCAGGCGCAAGGAGAGCCUGGGCGAUUUUGAACAUCUCCUCUCAGCAGAUGCUGAAGAAUAUUGCCCUCUUCUUGGCGUCUUCUUCAUUGGUGACCCCUUUGGCUUCUAGGAGGAAGGUGAAAUGGGAGGCGUACGCUUCCCAGUCUCAAUAAUGUUGGGUUGAACGGUGAGAAGUUGCUGUCGGUUGCCAUUCUGAGUUCCUUGCGGUCUGGAGCUGAAGUCUGGGUACAUGGUGCGAGGCAGUGGUGUGGCAGGUGCUGUGGUGCUGUGGUGCUGUGUGUGGCGGUCAACUCAGUGGGAUCCCACCUUCGUUGCCAGUGAAAUAUACUCGGAGUCGAGAGUGGAUUUCAUGCUCUUUAUUCAGCUCAUAGUGGUGAGGAGGAAUGGAAGUUCCCCCAGAAUGUCUGCUUUAUAUACAUUAUUUACAGAAUGGGCCCCAUGUGAUUGGCUAAUUCCGGGAUUCUCCUGUAGGCCAAGCAGGUUGCAGACUGCUGCAUUUUGGAUCCUAUUCAACUCAGUACAUAACAAUGUUUCUCUUGAGUGGAAAACUCCACAUGUGCCUCAACAUUUUGCUUCAGGUACAAUUUAGAGGCUGCACUGGUGCCAAGUCGUGUCAACUUUGCUCACUGCAUGGAGUGCUUCUUUGCAUGCUAGUAACAUGCAUUAUUAUAUUUUUAAUGGGAAUGCACCAAACUCUGAUAGGGAUUUUCACUAGACCUAUUCCGUGGAGUAGUGGAGAGGAGUGUCCUGCCCCCGAAGAAGAGCAAAGGACGGAUCUUGCUUGCUCUGGCAAGCGAAUUACUUGAUAAUGCAGCCUUCAAGUUUGUUUGUGACAGCUUAGCAGAGAGAAACUCAAAGACUGAGAGAAAUAAUCAAGCAGAUGCUGGAAAUGUCUUUCUUUUGUUUGAUGGGUUCCUAUUUCACACAAGCUCUGGAAAUGGUAAUAGCUUAUUUGCAAGCUUCUUUGCAUUUCAAAUUAAAAACUAAAAGGCUUAAUUUCAUCUGGCUGAAGAGCCUUUGUUAAAUCUCAGUGACAGAAGCAAUAAGAUAUCAUAAGACCACGUUACACCCUGCCCCACCAGAGCAUCAUAGGCCAGGUCAUGUGGUAAAGCUGAGCUUUAAAGGCCAAAGCCCUGACUGAAUAGAACAACUUUGCAGACAGCCAGUGUGAAGGGAGCAAAGUAGGUUUCCCUGCACAGGGAGUUGCAGAGUCUGGGAGCAGCAGCAGAAAAGGCUCUGCUCAGCCACCUAAGCAAAGAAAAGGCAUCUGGGUGGAAGCUAAGGGCGGGCAGCUGAGAGUCCUGUGAAGGGGCUCUGUGAUUAAACAUGCUAAAACAAUAUAUUUUUAAAAAGAACCUAAGGCAUUCUUCUUCAUUCACCUCUGUGGGUGCUCUGAAUGUGCAGGUGAUCCAUUAUGAGAGGAGCCCUGGUUCAGGUUGCACGUUGCAGUGCAGUUUGCAUCAUGCAUGCCUUUAACUUACACAACUUCAAGUAGAAUCAUAGAAUCAUAGAGUUGGAAGAGACCACAAGGGCCAUCGAGUCCAACCCCCUGCCAAGCAGGAAACACCAUCAGAGCACUCCUGACAUAUGGUUGUCAAGCCUCUGCUUAAAGACCUCCAAAGAAGGAGACUCCACCACACUCCUUGGCAGCAAAUUCCACUGUCGAACAGCUCUUACUGUCAGGAAGUUCUUCCUAAUGUUUAGGUGGAAUCUUCUUUCUUGUAGUUUGGAUCCAUUGCUCCGUGUCCACUUCUCUGGAGUCCACUUCUCUGGAGCAGCAGAAAACAACCUUUCUCGGAGGCAGAUUCUGCAAAGGUGGUGAGAAACACUUUUCUUCUCCUUAUCACUCUUCUCUACUAGGACCCUGCUGCCAGUUUAAGGACCUGUCAGACCCUUUUUCUUCUUCUGCCUCUCUAGGACCUGCCUGAAAGAUGGGGAAGACUUUGCCCUUUGCCUGCCAGCACUUUCCAAGGCCCCACCAGCUGGAGGAGAAGGUGGGGAAGCCCUGAUUCAUUCAGCGCUGGCUUUCUGGCCACACAAAGAUGGAGAGGGAGGCACCAACAGAAAGCGCAGGCUCCUUUGCAGCUCAGCGGACAAGGGAUAGUGAGUCAGAAGACUCCCUGGAUCCCAGGGUCACCUUCCAUUGGGAAGGGGAGUAUACUUUAUAGACAAUUUAAGGUAAUUUGGCCUAUGCAUGAUUUUUGCCUUAUGCACUGACUUCAGAACCCAGAUGCAACUCUGCUCUAGUGUGGAAAAACAACACUUUAAUUGUUCUCAGAAACAAAUAGGAAGCCAGUGCAGAUGUUUCAGCGGUGGAACAACCUGCUCCUGAAACCUGGCUUUGCUCAUCAGCCUAGCUGCUGCAUUUUGUAUGAGCUGAAAUGUCUUUUUUCAAAAUGGCAUUAUUUAUUUAUUUGUUUGUUUAUCUCAUAAUAUUUAUUAUGCUUGAUUAUUUUUUUAAAAGCCUCAAAGCGGUUUACAAAAAGAUAAAACAACAAAAUCACAAAAAUUUUACAACGCUGCUUUAAAACAUAGAAAAGUUAAAAUGCUAAAACAGAUAAAAUUACCUCAACUUUCUAAGGACCUAUGACAUUUGGUGGCAACUGUCCUGUGACCCUUGAUUCUUCCCUUGCUAUUCCAGACCAGCUCCUCUUCCCGUUGGUGCUAAAUCUCCCAGCAUAUCAGCCUGCCACAUCCCCUCACAGAUGGUUUCCCUGGCAAUGGCUGUCCUUCUUGAAAUUGUGUUGCUCUUCUGCCUCAACCCUUUGGCUGGACAUCCGCUUGGCUAGACAUUACUGGUUUUGACCCUUUGGUUUGUGCCACAGCUGUUCUGUUGGGCAUUCUCUAUAUGAUUGAAUCUGCUCCUGCCAGAACUGACAUCUGGUCUCGUAACUUUGGUAAACUGUCCAUGCCUCGGCUGCGACAGGAGCGUACAGGUUUGUUCUAGAGUACAACAAAUGACUGCUGGCACUGUGAUUCCAUUCUGCUCCUUCUUUUCAUGCAAGUCUCUGUUUAAAUUUUUUAUUUGGCAAGGAUUGAACGUUGGCAACUUCUGUACUGUAAGUGAAACUGCUGAGACACCAAUUAACAUUUCAUUGCUAAGAGUCAUCCAUUUGUUAUUUGUAGUUGUGGCCAAAUUUGUAUGUUUGAACUUUAAAGGCUUUGUUUGCAUGGUCUGUAGCACAUCAGAAAAUGGCAAAAAAAUGGAUAAUUACCACUCGUGUAUUAAAAGAGCAACACCUAGUCAAAGAGGGGGCAGACCCAAAGGAGGCUUAGCCUUACUGUUCUCAACGCAGAUACAAGCUAAUAUUAUCCAAUUACCCUCCAAUGAUGAAUGGUCUGUAGCAGCAGUUUUAGAUUUCGGACAAAGCAAACUGCUAUGCAUAAACUUAUACUAACCUACAUGUCGUCGGCAGGCACAAGUAGAACAACUAUGGAAAGAAGUGGAAGCCCACGUGGUGCAAUGGAGGAGACAACACCCGUCAGCCAUGAUAUUACUAGCUGGUGACCUAAACGCAAGAGUGGGCCCUAACGACAACGCCCUAUAUGCACAUUUUCACCAAUGGCCUCCAGAAAUGGAAACUAUCCCACCCCUAAUGAUAAGAUCAUCCUACGAUAAGACAUGCAACAUUGGAGGACUACAUUUAGCACACAUGGCCUACAGACAGAAUCUACACUUACUGAAUGGGGCUAUACAAGGAGAUUAUCCUGGUCAAUACACAUAUUGGUCAGGACACAAACUGUCAACGAUAGAUUAUUGCAUUGUUUCCCAGGACCUGAUCCCUAGGAUAUCAAAAUUCACCAUUACAGCAAGAGCUGAAAGUGAUCAUCUACCUUUAUCCCUCGUGUGUGAUUUACCCUUUGAUCUGCCCAAACCACAACACAGAUAUCAACCAGAUCUAACACCCGGAACAGGCCUCAUGCAAAUCAGAUGGAACGGACAAGUGAGCGAGCAGAUAUCUAACUGGUAUAAAACUGAGGAGAGCUACCGUCUCUCAAAAGCAAUCAUGGAAGGGUGCUUAGAAAUAGAGGAGAGCGCCCCGAACAUGAUGACAACAUAUGAAAUGCUUAUACAAAAAAUUCAAGAGUUUGUUGUAAAACCGAAUUCCAAGUCUCCCCACCGUCGGAAAACUUCCAGGGAGUGGUUCGAUCAUGAGUGUAUAACCUCCAAGAAAUCAUUGAUCCACUCCUUCAUCUGCCAUAAGGAUAAUCCAACAGAGGAUAACAGACAAAAGAUGCUUGAAGCCAAAAGAAGUUACAAAAAACUUCUGACACAAAAGAAAAGAUACGCAAUGAAGUUAGUAUGGCAGCAACUGAUAGAGGCCUCCAAAUCAAGUAACCCAUCAUUAUUCUGGAGAAUCGUAGCUGUACAGCCGGAUAGGGGCCUAUCACAACUAUCCUGCUGCAUAUCGAUGAAAGCCUGGGAAACGCACUUUCAUAAUCUUUACGAGGAAUCUAGCGAUGAGUCCUAUGCAAUAGACAUACCGGAUGAUCAGAUACAGCCAUGGCCAGCAGUCUCAUUAACAGAGACCCAUCUGCUGAUUGACCAACUAAAGAACGGGAAAGCCCCCGGAAUUGACUGUAUACCAGCGGAAAUAUUUAAAACCAAUGUGAACUGGUGGGCCCCCUUGCUAGCCCCUCUGUUCACAUAUAUAGAUAGAACUGCACAGAUCCCAUACGAUUGGGGGACUUCCAUCAUUAUUCCCAUUUACAAAAAAGGCUCGAGGGACGAUCCCUCCAACUAUAGACCUAUAAGCCUCCUGAAUAUAAUAAGUAAAUUAUACGCUAAACACCUCAGCGAGAAACUGUGCGAAUGGAUAGAAAGAGCGAAGAUUCUUGAUGAUGCACAGGCAGGAUUUAGACAAGGGAGAUCCACAAUGGAUCACUGCCUGAUCUUACAGCACCUAGCUGAGAAAUACACGUCGCACCACAAUCACCACCUAUUCGCAGCAUUUGUAGAUUUUAAAGCAGCCUUUGACUCCAUCCCAAGAACUCGACUCUGGGACAAACUCAACAAAUCAUCCAUAGACCGACGUCUGCUGCUACUAAUAUACAAACUGUACAACAACACACGACUUCGUAUAAGAUGCAGCCAAGAAGGUCAACUCUCUAAUUUCAUUAGAACAACAAAGGGAGUUAAACAAGGAUGCAUUUUGGCCCCCUUUUUGUUCAACAUCUAUAUAAACUCCCUAAUAGACCACGUACAAGGAGCGGAUACACACGCCCCAAAAUUAGCAGACAAAAAACUGCCUAUCCUACUCUAUGCUGACGAUGCGGUUAUAUUGUCCCAGACUCAGAUGGGCCUCAAAAGAGCUCUUAACAGCUUAUCCCAAUAUUGUAGAGAAGAGAAACUAGCAGUGAACUACCAAAAAACAAAAAUCAUGAUUUUCUCUAACAAAAGGAAAAUAUACAGAUGGAAUUUAGACAAUCAGGAGAUUGAACAAGUGACAUGCUUUAAAUAUCUAGGAGUGAUAUUCCAAGCAUCAAGGAAGAAGACUGCCCACAUAAACUACAGCUCCUUUACAGCACAAAAAAGUACAACAGCAAUCCUAAGAUUCCAUCGUACAACGGGAGGAAAUUUCAUUCCUGCUACAAUCAAACUAUUCGUUGCAAAACCAACAGCACAAAUCCUAUAUGGUGCACCACUCAUCUCCCUCUCUAAUCUAGACCCAUAUGAGAAGAUACAAUCAGGUUUCCUUAGAUCACUCCUGCAAACACCUAAAUGCGUCCCAAACGCCGCCCUACGACUGGAAGCGGGCUUACACAGCAUUAAAGCCAAAGUAUGGAUAAGAACCUUAUGCACUUGGCUAAGACUUAACAACUCGCUGGUUGGACUACUUUCCCUGCUGCUUCUUGACAAAUUCCAAUCUAGCUGGUUGAAGGGCAUUCUCAGAAAACUGGCCACAUAUGGUCUCUCCCCAGAGUAUUUAUUAAGUUUAGAAAGGGGAAGGGCCAAGAACAUAAUCAAAGAAAGACUCAGGGACAUUGAAACCCAAAAUGACUUUAACCAACUUCCGAUAACUUAUAAACUUCUAUACAAUUCCCAAAGGCCCCAUCUAGCAAACUAUCUCAAAGUUCUAGACAACGCCAAACACCGAUGGGCAUUUUCCAGGGCCCGCGUUAACGCUCUCCCUUCAGCUCUUCUAGAGGGAAGAUACAAUAAAAUACCGAUUGAACAAAGAUUAUGUCCCUGUAACAGCAAUGAAAUCGAAACCAUUGGGCAUGUCAUCUUAUACUGCCCAUUAUAUCGAGACUCAAGAAAAGAGCUGAUCGAACCGAUUCUGAGGAAAAUACCUUGUAGUACAGACGACACCUAUAUCAGACACCUCUUAGCUGACAAAGAGCCCGAAAUCAACAGGUCCGUGGCAAAGUACUGUUACAUUGCAACAAGAAUAAGACGAGCAAUGAUGUCUACAAAGGGGAUCAAGCAGUAAACAUCGAAGGAACGAUAAUAAACAGUAGCGACUCCUGAAUUGAAUUUUAAAAACUUAAAACUCGAAACCUGGUCAUAAAUAUAAGCACCAAUUCUGUGAAUUGGCCAUAUUUUUACUGUUACUUGUAGUACAAUACUACUCUUAAUGUCAUAUUUUAUAAAUUGCUUCCUGGUCACUGACCGUAUUAAAGAUAUUUGAUUUGAUUGAAAAUGCCUUGCUCUAUUAAUUUCCAUAUAAUUAAAAUUUGUAGAUGUUGCCAACAGAUCAAAGAAAAAUAAAUAAAAAGAAUGAAUACCUUUUUUAAAGAAAUGCAGAAGUUGCAUGCAAAAUGUCAUCUCAAAAUAAAAACAAAAUAGAGAUAAUUUGGCUUUAAAGCAUUGUUCUCUUUAGAAUUCAAAAUUAGAUUGCUUUUAAUUUCUUACCGAAGAAUAUUUUUUUUAAAAAAGCCUAUUGCAAGAGAAAGAAGUAAUCAAAUAGCAAACUGGUAUGAGAAAUAAAGAAAAUAGAUGGGGGGGGGGCUCCUUUGGGGGGGAGGAGUGUUUAUUUGUGAGUUGUUGGUAUCAGCUUCCUAAUUUGUACUUUCCCCUCUGCCUUCUGUUAUACAAAAAUGUAAACCAGAUUGCAGUUCUUAUUUAGUGCAUGGAUUCCCUAAUCUUUUAUUUUGGUGAAGUGUAAUGCUGCAUUUGAGGUGCAUCAGUUGUUGAUGUGUUGAUAUAGAAAAUCUGUUGUGACUGUUUACAUUCAACUAGAAAUAUAUUACCCUAUUUUUCCGUGUAUAACAUGUCCCCCAUGUAUAAGAUGACCCCUAUUUUUUUGGCCUGCAACAAAAAUUUUGGGGGAGAUUACCCAGAGUUGUUGAGCGAGCUUUUUUUUUUUUGGGGGGGGGGGGAGAUUGCUGCGGCCACCAGUCAUCUGCACACUCACUGCCAAAAGCCCUCUUGCCCACUCGAUGCAAACACAGCAAAUUGCACACAUGACUUGCCACUGCUGUAAAUCUCCCACUUAAUUACUGCUGUCAAUUGCCUGCUGGCUGCUGCCACCAAUCACCCAUCCCACCACUGCUAUCCAUGUAUAAGACAACUCACAAUUUUUGCCAAUUUUUCUAAGGAAAAAAGGUGAAAAAAUAUGAUAAUUUUUGGAUUAGAUGGUUGAUUGUCCACAUUCGUAAAAGUACAAAAAAAAAAAGUUUCCCAAGAACUGCAUGUACAGCAGGUGGAUUCAUGUAGUAGAGAGGGGUACAGAGAAGAAAUGCUGUGGAUCCUCCUUAUCUCCUGAAUGAUAAUAAUAAUAAUAAUAAUAAUAAUAAUAAUAAUAAUAAUAAUAAUUUAUUUGUACCCUGCCCAUCUGGCUGGGUUUCCCCAGCCACUCUGGGCGGCUUCCAACAAAGAUUAAAAAUACAUUAUUUAAUCCCUCCAAGGACUCAGCUACAUUAGUAGAAAUAAAACAUUAUCAAUGCAUUACAGUGGUACCUCAGUUUUCGAACAGCUUAGUUCCCGAACAACUUGGAAUCCACACACUGCAAACCCAGAAGUCAGUGUUCCAGUUUGUGAACUUUUUUCGGAAGUCGAACUUGCUCCAUUCUGAGUGUUACACUUCCGUUUUCGGUGCCACACUUCCCUUUUCUGAGUGAGGGAAGGCCAGGCUGGGCAGCAAGCAAGCAGGCAAGGGAUGUCACUGGGUCUGCCGCCGCCGCCGCCACAUCCUCUGGUACCGGGUGACGCCUGUGACUGCAGCUUCAGGCACCAGAGCAACACCGAGUGGCUCGGCCCCAGCAGUGCCUCCCUUUCCUUCCCCGCCAUGUAAACUUCCCCUCCCGCAUCCAGUUAGCCACCUCCUUACACACACGAACCCUCCCCCCCCCCGUGCUCUUCAUCCCUCCAAUGGCAAUGGGUAGUUCACUGACAGUUUUUGAUACUGGGUAGUACUGUAGAUUGCAGCCUAUUUGAAGUUGGACAUACCUUAUAGCUUUCAUUUUAUGGAUCAAUGGUCUUUUUAGAUAGUAAAAUUUAUAUUAAAUCGCUGCUUUAGGGGUUGUUUUUAAAAGUCUGGAAAGGAUUAAUCCAUUUUGCAUUACUUUCUAUGGGAAAGUGUGCCUUGGUUUUGGAAUGCUUUGGUUUUGAAAUGGACUUCCAGAACAGAUUAAGUUUGAGAACCAAGGUACCACUGUAUAACACUGUGACACCAGAUGGCAUUGUAGAGCUGAAAUCAUUAUGAGCUUUAAAACGGUUUUCAGAGCAUUUCAGAGUGUUUUUUAUAACUGUGUAGAUGCAGCUCAAGUCACAAUAACCCCAAAGCUACUACUGGCUGCUCAUGUAACUACAAAAUCAUUCUCACCUCUGACUGCCUUCAUUGCCACUUAGUAAGGGUUGAUUAUUAUCAUUAUUAAUAAUUCUGAAUGGAUUCACUGCUACUUUGUGCAAUAAUUUUAUUGGUUAUGAAAUUAUAUUUCUGUUCCUGCAAAGAGCACUUGACAAAAAUUCAGAGGCAUUUUUUUAAUUAUUAUUAUUAUUAUUAUUAUUAUUAUUGAAAUGCAGCAUGACUGAGUCUUCCAUUUCUAUUUCAUACUCAGCAGGAACCAGUUUAUCUGUUCUGUGCUCCUACUACAUUUUGAAUUUCUUCAUAAAAUCAUACAACGCUCCCUGUCUUGAUAUUAUGGCAAUGUGAAACAGGAUGUCAUAUUUAAAAAACAGAGCAGAGACCUGGAAACGAUGCCUUAUGAGGAACGGCUAAGAGAGCUGGGCAUGUUUAGCCUGGAGAAGAGGAGGUUAAGGGGUGAUAUGAUAGCCAUGUUCAAAUAUAUAAAAGGAUGUCACAUAGAGGAGGGAGAAAGGUUGUUUUCUGCUGCUCCAGAGAAGCGGACACGGAGCAAUGGAUCCAAACUACAAGAAAGAAGAUUCCACCUAAACAUUAGGAAGAACUUCCUGACAGUAAGAGCUGUUCGACAGUGGAAUUUGCUGCCAAGGAGUGUGGUGGAGUCUCCUUCUUUGGAGGUCUUUAAGCAGAGGCUUGACAACCAUAUGUCAGGAGUGCUCUGAUGGUGUUCCUGCUUGGCAGGGGGUUGGACUCGAUGGCCCUUGUGGUCUCUUCCAACUCUAUGAUUCUAUGAUUCUAUGACUAUAUCAAGAGGAACAGGAGAUUGACAGCAUCACAGCUUGUCACCCCUGAAGGCAAACAUAAUGCUCUUCUUUAUUAAUGUGUGUCAUGGACAUGCUAAAAGGCAUUGCCAGGCCCUGGAUCAGAGCACUGAAGGGUACCUAUAAGGCUGGAAAGUCCUCUUGCUCAAAAGAGGUCUCUGUAAGAUACAGACAGUCUGCUCUUCCCCAGCUCACUGUUGCCUCUUAUCUUGUACAUGCCAGGCAUAUAUACUUUGGUUAGUGACAUCUGCUGUGCACUGCAUUUCUUGAUGUUUGUACUCAGUCUUUUAUGCUGAACAUGUAAUAUCAUUAAUUCAGUUAUUGCCAUAUGAUAUUGUUGCACCCAGUCAUUUUGCCUUCCUAGAUUCAUUUCCAUCUGUAUUAGAAAAAUGUCCAUCAUUGUGACAGAUAGGACACAGAAGCAAAUUGCACUCCCUCUAUGGGAUCCCUCUUGGAAGCCAAGCCAGAGAUGGUGCAGGGAGGGGUUGGCCUGUCACAAGGUGGUUGAGGUCUGCAUCAUUUGGGGGCGGGGGGUGAAUGGGAGCUCUUCAGUUAUGUUAGAUACAGUAAAAGGUCACUCUUGGAAGCACUGAGUGGGAGGGAGGAUUAACAACAAUAUCCAGGAUGAGAUUCAGGUUUGACCGCUUUCAACUUUAUCCCAUAAACAACCACCUCUCCCUCCCCUCCAUCAGGAACUCUUCCAAAGCUGACUCUUUGAAUCUCUUGUCUCACCUCCAUCUCCUCAGUAGAUUGCCCCACAUACUUUCACCUUCUCCUCAGAACCACCAAUUUCCCUUUUCCUAUGAUUUUCACUGGGGUCAAAUAAACACAUUUUUUUCAGGCCCUGUACAGGGGCUUCACUUGCACAGGGCUGCAAUACUUUUAAAGUGAGGAACCCCUUUACUAACCAGUCAAGGACCCUCACUGUCUUUUAAACUCUCUGGGAAGGUCCAGGAGGCGAGUACUCAAAAGGCCUGCUUUGCCAGUGAGCUGCUUAUUUAAAUUUGGACCCAGAUUGAACCUGGUCCAUCUUUCCUGCAGACUGGCUAGAUCCUGCACAGGACCACCUUCUUCUUCUUUUUGUUUUUUUAUUACAUAUACAAAUACAUAUACAAAAUGUUUACAUAAUAUUACAUGUACAUUAUACUUGUAAAUUCACAUUUUUCAUUUCAUUAUUUAUAAACAUUUAGUCAUUUCUUACUUGCAUUUUAUCUUUCCCCUAUAUCAUAACCCUGUGUCUUCCCUCCACCCGUGCAUGACUUCCUAAUUUUUAUAUUAUAACUUUAUUAUUGUGAUUGUACUCUUAUAUCUUAAUAAUUUAAACAUACAUUCUUGUAUUUCUGUUUAUAUUAACUGUGAGAUCAAUCUAUACAUAUCAAUAAUUUUUUGUUGGAGCAUCUUUUAACCAUGUAUUCGUCUACACACUUCCAUUCCUGUUUGAGAUUUUGGUUAGAUUGCAUUCUAAUUAUUGUUGUCAAUUUUGCUAAUUCAAUCAAUUCAAAAAAAAUUACAUUGCCAAUCUGACACUGAUGGUACUCUUCAGAUUUCCAAUUUUUGGCAACCAGUAACCUAGCGGCAGCUGUUGCAGAUAGAAAAAUUCUCUUCAUGACUUCUGGAGGUGGCGCCAACGGUAAUGGCGGAUUCCCUCUGAUUCGGAGGGAACCCGCUCCACAGAAACAGGGUCGGAUACCGCUUUGGCGCAGCGGGGACCCCUGAAAUCACAGGCAGGUGAAGCCUGUGAACCUGGGACUCGGCGGGCACUGUCUACGCCCCCCCAAUCCGUGAAGGAACCCGGCAACGGGCUCCGGAACGGAGCGGGGAAGUGGCGCUGUGCUGUGAGUCGUCUGCUUCUUCUGUGGAGUGAAGCCGCGUAGCUGUUGCCGGAGAGCGCUGCCUUUCUUCCUUGACAAUUUGGCUUUGAAAAUAACGAUCCGUGAGUAGGAUUACUACCUAACUAAAGGAACUGUAAAAAAAAUUGGAAGUAAUUGGCCGAAGCGGAGAGGUAUAAAAGGGAAGUCUGCCUCCCGCUCUUGUAGAGAGAACAAAGCAUUGAACUUGAAAGCGGAAGCUUUAAAAGACGUGUAAAAGGAUUACAAUCUGAUCAUCUAACCGGGAUUCCCCCCCCCCUCAAUUUGGGGGAGGAGGGGGGGAAGUUUUGAACGUUAUUUCCCCAAGAAGAAGUGAGAAAGAGGAGAUAAAAACCACCGCUCAAAACCCCCUGGAACGGGUUCCCAGUGACAGUAAAAAGCCUAAGAGAAUGUACUGUCUUUGAACGUAUUUUGACAGCUAGCUCUGCAUUGGAAAUACAAUUUGGAUACAAUAUUGCUGACAGGUAUCUCCUGGUCCUAGAGUAACUGCUUAAGAUAGAUUGUUAUCUUCCUGGUGAAUUGGGGGACUAAAGGGAAAAGUAAAUUACUUUAAGAACUUUAUGACUGUUACAGUGUCCCCCUAGUGGAAUUUGGAACUAGUUACAACUGCAGCUGGCCUGAGGAAAUUUCUCAGACUGUUUUCCUGGAACUUUCCAUUUCAAAACAACUUUGACUCUGACUGUGUGGCUGACCUUGAGUUUUAUCUAGAGGGGUAUGGCAGAUGGGAAAGAGUUACAAGCAACAAGGUCUGGCAGAGUAUAUCGUACAGAUGGUGGAUUGCAAAGGAGAGCUUCGACAUCUGGCCCCCCUGGAGUUCCAAUAGCAACCUCAUCAGCACAACCUAAAAUUAAAGGUAUGGCAAGUGACGAUGCCCUGGUUCAGGCACUGGCUAAAAUUAAUGAAUUUUUGGAUAGAAUAAGUAAACAAGUAGCAGAGGCAUCGGAUAAGAUUGAUCAAAAUACGACAAGUAUUAACCAAAAUACGGCAAGUAUCAAUAAUUUGGGGCAGAAAGUAAACAAUAAUACAGAAACUAUUCAGAAAUUAUUACAGGAAUCUGCUUCGACACGUGAGAUUGCCGAAGAGGCUAAAGAAACUGCUACAGCUACUGUUGCAGAGGUUCAAGAGAAGAUACCACCGCUACAUAAACAACUUGAAGACCAUAAGUCAAUCCUGUCUAUGAUCGAGUUGAAGGAGAAACAAGUGAACUUAAGGGUCAGAGCUGUACCUGAAGUGGAGAAAGACAACUUAGUUGAAUUUCUUACGCAGGAAUUCCUAGAUUUUUGGAAUCCAGAUUUGGGGAAAGACAGUUUUAAAAUAGUGAACGCUUUUAGACUUGGGAAAGGAGGGGGAAAGAGGGUGAGAGAUUGUUUGAUCACCCUCCAAACAAAAGAAGAGAGAGACAAGAUUUUGAGUUUGCAUUUCCAGAAGACACUGGAAAUACAACAGUCAAAAGUGGAGAUAUUCAAGGAUAUUCCGAAACAUCUUCUGGAUCUCAGGUUUAAAUACAAAGACCUGGUUACCCUGUUGAGAAGUAACGGAAUUAACUUUAGGUGGGAAUUUCCUCAAGGCCUAUCCUUUAGCUACAAAGGAAAGAAGAUAAAAAUAAGAUCGGAAGACGACAAAGACAAAUUUUUGAGAGACCACGGAGAAGACCUACAGAAGAAAGUUACAGGAGAGCUAAGAGCAACUGUAAGAGAAACUUUAGACAUACCAGGACUAUCUCUGGAACUAAAAGACCGCCUGAAAAACGUGAUACCACCGACGGAACAGGAACAGGCACUGGGUGCCAUUGGAGGAGAACCAAAAUAAUUACAUCAUGGCCCUGCAACUAUUAAGUUGGAAUUGUAAUGGUCUCAAUUCCCCGCAGAAAAGGAAAUCUGUGUUUCAUUUAUUAAAAAAGGAACAAUUGGACUUGAUUUGCCUACAAGAAACACAUAUAACAAGAUUACACAGGAAAUUAUUGAUAAAUAAAAGACUUGGUCAAGAGUUUAUUUCAUCGGACAAAGUUAAAAAAAGAGGGGUUGUGAUUUAUGCAAAGGACAGAUUAUCACCGAAAUUUAUUUUUAAAGAUGACCAAGGAAGAUUUGUGGCAAUUGAAAUUCAAACGCAAGGAGAAAAUUUUUUGAUAGUAGGAAUUUAUGCACCAAAUGAGGGGAAAUCUGAUUUUUUAAAGAAGUUGCAUGGACUAUUUGGAUUAUGACAUGAUUUUGAUGGGAGACAUGAAUGGAGUGGUAUCUACACAUAUGGACAAGGCACAAAGACAGGUAGUCACUAAUGAUGGUAGACUACCGAAAACUUUUUUUGAGAUGACAGACAACUUGGACUUAGUUGAUAUCUGGAGAACAAGAAACCCCAUGGCUAAAGAGGGAACCUUCUUUUCUGAAGCCAAAAUGACAUGGACAAGAAUUGACCAAAUAUGGGUAACUAGAGGAAUGGCACCUAAGACAACAAAGGUGGAAAUCUGCCCGAAAACUUGCUCCGACCAUAAUGCUGUCAAGAUGGGAAUGAAACUAACACCAACUGGCUCCUUCAGAUGGAGGAUGAAUGACACCUUAUUUAGAGAUGAAGAAGUGUUAAAGAAGGCCCAAAAAACCUUGAGAGACUAUUUUGAGAUAAAUAUGAACACCAACGUGGAAAAAAGAGUAAUCUGGGACGCAAGUAAAGCGGUUAUGAGAGGGUUUCUGAUACAACAGAAUGCAGUAAAGAAGAGAAUUCAAAAUGAGAAGAAGGAUAAGAUAUUGGAGAAAAUAAAAAAGUGAAAAAAGAUUGAGAACAAAUCCAAAAUCUCAAGAGAUUCUGAGAGAACUAAAGCUACAUCAAGUACAAUACAUGAAAAUGACGAAUCAGGAAAUAGAAUGGAAAAUUAAACAAAUGAGACAAAAGACAUUCGAGUCGGCUAACAAAUGUGGGAAACUGUUGGCUUGGCAAAUGAAAAAAAGACAAAAAUUAAAUACAGUUACGAAUUUAGAAGUGGAAGGAAGGAAUAUACAGAACCCAGCUGAGAUUAGAAAUUGUUUCCAGAGGUACUUUAAACAACUAUACACACAAGGGCCACUGAAAGAAACUGAUCUAGAUCAAUUUUUGAAAACAAAUGGAUUACAAAAAAAUCUCUCAAGAAAAUAAAUUAAUGUUGAACUAUAAAAUAACUGAACAGGAGAUAGAAGGUGCCAUUCAAAACAUGCAAUUGGGUAAGUCUCCAGGACCGGAUGGACUGACUUCUAGAUAUUACAGAUCCUUGAAAGAAUGGCUAGUGCAACCUUUGAAAGAGGUCUGUAAUGAAAUAAUGGAGGGGAAAAGAGCACCAGAGUCGUGGAAAGAAGCUUAUAUUACACUUGUACCGAAAACAGAGACUGAAAAGACACAGCUUAAGAACUACCGCCCCAUAUCAUUACUCAAUGUGGAUUACAAAAUUUUUGCAGACAUUUUGGCUAAGAGAUUUAAAAAAGUGUUGAUGGAAGAGAUUCAUAAAGAUCAAGCGGGCUUUCUCCCAGGAAGACACUUGUCUGACAAUUUGAGGAAUAUAAUUGAUACUUUGGAAAAACUAGAAGUGAACAUGAAUACUAAAGCAGUUUUGAUAUUUGUGGACGCGGAGAAAGCUUUUGACAAUAUUUCUUGGAGCUUUAUGAAGAAGAACCUACAGGGUAUGGGGGUAGGCCAAGGCUUUGAAAAUGGUAUAAGUGCAAUUUAUUCAGAACAAAAGGCUAAAUUAAUUGUAAAUAAUGUGGUGACGGAAGAACUUAAAAUAGAAAAAGGGACACGACAAGGUUGCCCAAUCUCCCCCCUACUUUUUAUUUCGGUCCUGGAGGUUUUGCUGAACAUGAUUAGAAGGGACCAGCUGGUUAAACGUAUACAGGUCGGAGCUAAACAGUACAAACUGAGGGCAUUUGCAGAUGAUUUAGUACUGACGUUACAGGAGCCAGAAUCUAGUACCAAAAGGGCUUUAGAACUGAUUCAAGAAUUUGGUCAGGUUGCAGGAUUUAAAUUGAACAAGUUAAAAACUAAGGUUUUAGAGAAAAAUCUAACACCAAUGGAGAGAGAGUGGUUUCAGACUGUGACCGGUUUAACAGUGGUUAAGAAAGUUAAAUACCUGGGGAUUAACAUGACAGCAAAAAAUGGGAAUUUAUUUAAAGAGAACUAUGAAAAAUGUUGGGCUGAAGUGAAAAAAGAUUUAGAAAUCUGGUAAAAUUUGAAGCUUUCACUGCUGGGCCGUAUUGCUGCGGUAAAAAGGAAUGUAUUGCCUAGAAUGUUGUUUUUGUUUCAAACACUGCAAAUUGUGGACAAAAUGGACUGUUUCAAGAGGUGGCAGAGAGAUAUUUCUAGAUUUGUCUGGCAGGGCAAGAAGCCCAGAAUAAAAUUUAAAAUACUAACAGAUGCAAAGGAAAGAG